GACGAACGCUGGCGGCGUGCCUAAUACAUGCAAGUCGAACGCAGUGGGGACGGGUGAGUAAAACGUGGGUAACCUCCCAUCAGAGGAGAUAACCCUUGGAAACAGGUGCUAAACAGAAACUGCUGGAUGGACCCGCGGUGCAUUGGCGAGUUGGGGAGGUAACGGCUCACCAAGGACACGAUGCAUAGCCGACCGGAGAGGUGGAUCGGCCACACUGGGACUGAGACACGGCCCAGACUCCUACGGUAGGCAGCAGUGGGGAAUCUUCGGCAAUGGACGAAAGUCUGACCUAGCAACGCCGCGUGAGUGAAGAAGGUUUUCGGAUCGUAAAACUCUUUUGUUAGAGAAGCGGUAUCUAACCAGAAAGCCACGGCUAACUACGUGCCAGCAGCCGCGGUAAUAC
rnacentral:rRNA from 1 species